AGAGAAACGGAUCUUCGCUAUGAGGGUGUUCUCAACCUAGUGCCAGCCUAAAACAAGCAAACUCAUUGUGAAGUAAAAGGGACUAGAUUUCCAGAUGGAGUCUUACUCUGUGGCGCCUAGGGUGGAAUGCAGUGGUGUGAUCUCGGCUCGUUGCAACCUCCGCCUCCCGGGUUCAAGUGAUUCUCCCACCUCAGUCUCCCAAGUAGCUGGGAUUACAGUAUCCUGGAAAUAAUUGGAACAUUCACAAAGAAUGAAUAACCUUGAUAGAGGUAAGAAAUCGCCAGGCCGAAGAGGAAUGUGGUGUGAAAGUUUUCAGAAUCAAAAUGGAGUCAGUAAUGUUAAGAAAACUCUAACAAAUACUGCUGGGGAAAGCCAUGAAGUGAGGGUUUUCAUGCUUGUAUGCCUGUAACAGAAACUGUCAAAAAAAUUACAAAAACUGCAACCUUGCACAAAGGCCAUGUUGCAAAAACUACUUCUACGAAGACAUCUGCCCAGCAGCUGCCUCUCCAGUCUGACUGUUCUCACCCUUGUUAUUGAUUUUUGUAGCCAAAGAUAAUUAUUUCAGAACAAUUAUAUAAUCUUCCUCAUUUUUUCUUGAAAAAUCUUGUCUUCCUUUCCCUCCCUGAAUACAUGCAUAGUUUACCAUGCCAUGCAUAUUCCUAUUGCAAUUCUCUAUUCCCAAAUAAUUACCUCUUAGAGAGCCUCUUUCUUGCUUAGAUUGACAGUGAGAACUUAAAGAAGUUGAAUGAAUAGGUUGGGAAGAUGAUAACCAUGUUCAGAAACAUGAGAUAAAACCCCAAGUUACUGUAUGUAGGUGUAUAGUUUUUUGUCUACUUGAUAUGAUGCUCAUGUUAUACAGUUAAGGCAUGUGCAUAUUAUCUGCAAAUGACCAGCUCAGUCUCUGGGCAUGUGAGGAACUGAGAGUACCAGUUAAUCAAACAUUUACUUUGUUUACUGGGUCCUGCUGCUCACUUGGCUUACUUGUCCUCUGGAAGAAACCUCUUGCUCUCAAAGGAACCUGAAUCUGAGCUGCUGCCCCUGAGUGGGAAUCAUGCUUCAAAUUUUAACUCAGCGUAAAGUCCUAGAGAACAACAGGGCUGACAUCUUUCUGCCCUUGGUAUUGAUUUUGGGAUCUACAGAUAGCUCUGAGAGCCUCGGUUCCUUCAUCUGUACAAGGGGAGUGAUAAGGUAGAUAGUUACUGUGUAGGGAGCUUUCUCUGGGCUUUACAUAAAAGUCAUACAGUUCCCAAAGCAAUGAUAUGAAGGAGGGUUUAUCAGUAACUUCAUUUUACAGAUGAGAAAACUGAGGUUCAACUGGUUAAAUAAUGUGCCAGGUAACAGUCAGUAGGCAGAGGGGACAGGGUUUGAAUUCAGGCACUCAGGCUCCAGAGCUUCAGUCUUCAACACCACGCAUAAUAUUGAACAAUACGGGAGGUUAAUGAUGCUUAGCUUUAAGGGUUGCUGUGAAGAUUCAAGAUGAAGGCACAUGAGGCAUAUGGCUUCUGAUCUCGCUAUUCUACAAAAAUGGUCACUCUUGCUGUUUGCCAAUGACUUCUGAAUUGCCAAACUUAAUAAACACUCAGAAGGGAAAACUA
rnacentral:lncRNA from 1 species